GAUGAAGAACGCAGCGAAAUGCGAUACUUGGUGUGAAUUGCAGAAUCCCGUGAACCAUCGAGUCUUUGAACGCAAGUUGCGCCUCAAGCCAUUAGGUUGAGGGCACGUCUGCCUGGGCGUCACAUAUCGUUGCCUGAUGCCAGUUUCCUCGUGAUGGGUGACUGUGCAGGGCGAAUGAUGGCUUCCCGUGAGCAUUGUUGCCUCAUGGUUGGUUGAAAAUUGAGUCCUUGGUAGGGAGCGCCGUGAUUGAUGGUGGUUGAGUGACGAACGAGACCCAAUCAUGUGAGACCCCUACCGAAUUUGGCCUUCAUGACCCACAUGCGUCUUUGGAACGCUCAUGACGAGACCUCAAGUCAGGCGGGGCUACCCGCUGAGUUUAAGCAUAUCAAUAAGCGGAGGA
rnacentral:misc_RNA from 1 species